CUUGCAGCGCCCGGCCCCGUGUCGCUCCUAUAUAUCUUCCUCGAUCAACACGCCCGCGCACCUCUGCGCCGCUCCACUUGCUAACGCACCGUGCACCGACCCGCACUCGCGUUUCGCCGGCCGGCACUGCUGACGGGACCCCACCGCUUCCUGAAACGCGCGCGUCUUCCGACCAUUGUGUGUCAACAGGAAAGUUCGCGCCCGCUCCAUUCGUCGUCAGCAGCCGCCCCAAAGUUAGACCGCCCCAGCGAGCUAAGACUUCUGGCGUGCAGGUCCUUCAACGUUUCCAGCCUCGUUCUGCGCUCGCCGAUCAUUUUUUUCUUUCUUUUUGGGGUGUGCCCAGGAGCGUGUGUGUGCAAGUGGUGCGUGUGUGCCUUGGCAUGCGGCUGUCGCGCGCUUAAUUAAAAGUAGACCCCGGUUCUCACGGUCUUCCUCUGUCGUCACAGAGUCUCCGUACAGCGCAAGUUGGGCGUGAAUUCCAGAGGACGCUCUUACAGGGCGGCGCCGCCACUGUUUGCCACUUGCUCGCUCCCCUGCACUCAUCAACCAGGGGAUCCUGCAGUGGACCGUGAGAAUCUGAGCCGGCCGCUCCUGUCUGUCGCCAUGGGCCAGGUGGAACGAGCGAGCGGUGCCUCUCAAUCGCCGACGUUUCUCCUGCUGUUGUCACUGGCGUGGCUGGCGCUGGUGCCCGAUAUCGGCUCGGCGGCGUUGUUUCUCAACAGCGCUCGCCAGUGGUGCAGUGUGUGCCCUCCUUCCGGUCAGCCGCUCGGUAAUCGCUACGCCAUGUCGGCCUUCUGCUGCAGCCUCUUCAACACCUGCUGCCCGCAAGGCACCGGACUCAACCCUUACCGGCGAUGGCAAUGGAGUUAGCUGUAUUCGUAUUUCUCAUCGUAAUUUUUUUCACUCAUCCUUUUUUUUUUCUCUCGUACAUUCUUACACUGUA